rnacentral:rRNA from 1 species
AUGAAGCGAUUUGAGAGCUUUGUGCCGGUGCCGGACACUCUGCUCCAGAAGGCACGGCAGGAGCAGGGGCAUACGCCGUGGGUGCAAACGCCGGUUACCGACCUGACCGCCGUGGGCGAGGGCCACGGUACUGUGCUUUCGCUCAAGUUGGACCGGUUGUCGGAUUCAGUUUCCGGGCUCACCGUUGUUGAUCCAAAAGGAUACCUUACAGACUUGAACAUCAUGAAAAUUACUAGCAACGCCGAGAUUUCUGACAUUAAGAAGGCAAGACUGCUGCUCAGGUCUGUGACGCAGACCAACCCAAAGCAUCCUCCAGGUUGGAUUGCUGCUGCUAGGCUCGAAGAGGUUGCUGGAAAGCUCCAGUCUGCUCGGCAGCUCAUUCAGCGCGGCGCAUGCCGGUUGGCUAGCCCAGAAGAUUUCAAGGCAGUCAUCGCCAGGGGUGUCAAGGCAAUUCCCAAUUCUGUGAAGCUGUGGCUCAGGGUUUUGAGGAAGGGGAUGGAGCACAUUCCUGAUUCAGUUAGGCUAUGGAAGGCUGUUGUGGAGCUGGCAAACGAGGAGGAUGCAAGGAUGUUGCUUCACAGGGCUGUGGAGCUCGAGACAUAUGACCAGGCAAGGAAGGUGCUUAAUAAAGCCAGGGAGAAGCUCGACAAGGAACCUGCCAUUUGGAUCACAUUCACAGCUGCAAAGCUGGAGGAGGCUAAUGAGAACACCCAAUCCGUAAGCAAGACGAUUGAGAGGGGUGUAGAAUCUUUGCAGAGAGAGGGGUUGGAUAUUGACAGGGAGGCAUGGCUAAAAGAAGCCGAAGCUGCAGAGCGGGCCGGGUCUAUGCUUACUUGCCAGGCUAUUGUCAAAAGCACUAUCGGAGUAGGGGUCGAUGAUGAGGACCGGAAGCAAACAUGGGUUGCGGAUGCAGAGGAAUGUACGAAAAGAGGUUCAAUUGAGACAGCUCGGGCCAUCUAUGCACAUGCUCUUAGCGUGUUCGUUACCAAGAAGAGUGAAAUGCGAAUGAGGAAAUUAAGGAGGUUGUUGGAGGAAGGCCUGAAGUUAUUCGCCUCAUUCUUCGAAUUGUGGUUAAUGCUAGGGCAGAUGGAAGACCGUAUGGGCCGUGGAGCGAAGGCAAAGGAGGUUUAUGAGAAUGCACUCAAGCACUGCCCCGGUUGCAUCCCUCUUUGGCUCUCGCUAGCUAGUCUAGAGGAGAGGAUAAAUGGCUUGAGCAAGUCACGCGCUUUCCUCACCCUAGCAAGGAAAAAGAACCCAGCUACACCUGAACUAUGGCUUGCAGCUAUUCGAGCUGAACUGAGGCACGGGAACAACAAGGAAGCUGAUUCUCUACUAGCCAAGGCAUUGCAAGAGUGUCCAACAAGUGGCAUUUUGUGGGCUGCGGCUAUUGAGAUGGUGCCACGUGCCCAACGCAAAUCAAAGAGCUCAGACGCCAUAAAGAGGUGUGAUCAUGAUCCGCAUGUCAUCGCAGCUGUAGCCAAACUUUUCUGGCAUGACAGGAAGGUUGAUAAAGCAAGAAGUUGGUUCAACAGAGCUGCUUCCCUUGCUCCUGAUAUUGGGGAUUUUAGGGCAUUGUACUAUAAAUCUGAACUUCAGCAUGGAAAUGCGGAUACACAAAGGGAUGUUCUAAAGCGAUGCAUUGCAGCUGAACCAAAACAUGGCGAGAGAUGGCAAGCUACAAGCAAGGCUGUUGAGAACUCACAUCAGCCAACUGAUGCCAUUCUGAGGAGAGUCGUUUUGGCACUUGGUGUGGAAGAAAACCCAAUGCUAUAG